GAGGAGAAACCUCCCCACUGUUAGAUUUUCUUCCUUUUUGAGCUCUGAAUAGAUUAAUCUCUCUUUAUCACGAGUGUUGUUCUCGGCAAAUUGCUUGCAUCGGAUGGGAGACACUCAGUAGCAGUCUCUGGCCACAACACACCGCAGAGCCCACUUGAGUUGCAGCAGUACGACCGAAGCUAAAGAACUCAGAGUAGGCAUCUGUCACUCACCCCCUCUCUCAUCUAUCUACCUAAUUCGCCAUGUAUGUAUGGCGGGCGUGGAACAUGUUUGAUCCAUGUCAUCGACCACAUCGGAUGUGCCCGCUCGGGGAUUCGAGUUCUGCCGAGCUCAGCCGUCCAUAGUGGAGCUCGCCGGUCGGAUCGCGGGCUGGAUAAGAUGUGUUUUUUUCUUUCUUCGAACUAGUGGCAGUGAUUUGUUCCUACAGAUUUCCUCUUUCUUUGUUUUUGCCCCUGCACCUUCUGGCUUCAACUUGUGGAGUCCAGUCGAUUUGGUAUUUCUUUGGCCACUGCGUGAAUCUCACACUCUCUCCGUCUGGGAAGCAUGAAAGAUAGCACUCAAGAAGGGUGCAGAGUCAAACAAGUUGAAGAAGAUUCUACUGUAGAAUCGGAAAUGAAAGACACGGUCUUACUGCCUAUUCUCGUCCUCUGCCUCGUGGCUACAGACUGCACCCAACUGAAUCCGUCUUUUGGGCCUCGUCGCGCCUUACUGUCAUCCAUUCACUCACUCCUCUGUUUCUGAGUUCCGACGUCGGCGAAGUAAGUGGAUAGGCUGCAUAUAAGAGACAAGCCGAAAGUUGUGGCAACUUGGAGGAUCGGACCAUUACCAGGGCACGAAAAGUUGGAGGCAGCUGCCGGCAAGUGGUGAUGAGGUGCAUGCACGCCGAUGAAUCCAAGACGGUGGUGCGUGCUGCAAAAGAGAUGGGAACGGAAAGGCGGCGGAGUUGGCAUGCGAGCAGAGAGUAGAUGGUGAGAGGGUUUUAUCUUCAUGGGAACCACCCGGUGAGACGUGACUGAUCUGACGGAGAUCAUCAACUUGCUCUAAGAUCCUAGAAGAAAAGUUUCACGCUGGAUCGUGACAGGUUUUGGAACGUGCGAGGCUCCUUCCUAGCACAAGUAUGAUGAUUCCUGUUAUGUCCUUGCAAUUGUUAGUCAACAAUUUUCUGUAUUGUGAGAAAUCAUUUGAGUUUUGCAGUACAAAAAUUUACAUUAUGC
rnacentral:lncRNA from 1 species